ACGAACGCUGGCGGCGUGCCUAAUACAUGCAAGUCGAGCGGACUGAUUAAGAGCUUGCUCUUAUGACGUUAGCGGCGGACGGGUGAGUAACACGUGGGCAACCUGCCCUGUAGAUCGGGAUAACACCGAGAAAUCGGUGCUAAUACCGGGUAAUAUCUGAGAUCACAUGAUCUUAGGUUAAAGGAUGGCUCCGGCUAUCACUACAGGAUGGGCCCGCGGCGCAUUAGCUAGUUGGUAAGGUAAUGGCUUACCAAGGCGACGAUGCGUAGCCGACCUGAGAGGGUGAUCGGCCACACUGGGACUGAGACACGGCCCAGACUCCUACGGGAGGCAGCAGUAGGGAAUCUUCCGCAAUGGACGAAAGUCUGACGGAGCAACGCCGCGUGAGUGAUGAAGGGUUUCGGCUCGUAAAGCUCUGUUGUUAGGGAAGAAACAGUACCGAACGAACUAGGUCGGUACCUUGACGGUACCUAACCAGAAAGCCACGGCUAACUACGUG
rnacentral:rRNA from 1 species